AACGAACGCUGGCGGCAGGCCUAACACAUGCAAGUCGAACGCCCUAGCAAUAGGGAGUGGCAGACGGGUGAGUAACACGUGGGAACCUUCCCUAUAGUACGGAAUAGCUCAGGGAAACUUGAAGUAAUACCGUAUACGCCCGAGAGGGGAAAGAUUUAUCGCUAUAGGAUGGGCCCGCGUCGGAUUAGCUAGUUGGUGAGGUAAUGGCUCACCAAGGCGACGAUCCGUAGCUGGUUUGAGAGAACGACCAGCCACACUGGGACUGAGACACGGCCCAGACUCCUACGGGAGGCAGCAGUGGGGAAUAUUGGACAAUGGGCGCAAGCCUGAUCCAGCCAUGCCGCGUGAGUGAUGAAGGCCUUAGGGUUGUAAAGCUCUUUUUAGCUAGGGAAGAUAAUGACUGUACCUGCAGAAUAAGACUCCGGCUAACUUACGUGUCCAGCAGCCGCGGUAAU
rnacentral:rRNA from 1 species